rnacentral:tRNA from 1 species
UGGGCUGUAGCUCAAUGGUAGAGUGCUUGCCUAGCAUGUUUGAGGCACUAGGUUCAAUCCUUAGCACCACAU